rnacentral:rRNA from 1 species
AUUGAACGCUGGCGGCAGGCUUAACACAUGCAAGUCGGACGGUAGCAGGAGAAAGCUUGCUUUCUUGCUGACGAGUGGCGGACGGGUGAGUAAUGCUUGGGAAUCUGUCUUAUGGAGGGGGAUAACGACGGGAAACUGUCGCUAAUACCGCGUAGAGUCGGGAGACGAAAGUGCGGGACCUUAUGGCCGCAUGCCAUGAGAUGAGCCCAAGUGUGAUUAGGUAGUUGGUGGGGUAAAGGCCUACCAAGCCGACGAUCGCUAGCUGGUCUGAGAGGAUGGCCAGCCACACCGGGACUGAGACACGGCCCGGACCUCCUACGGGAGGCAGCAGUGGGGAAUAUUGCGCAAUGGGGGCAACCCUGACGCAGCCAUGCCGCGUGAAUGAAGAAGGCCUUCGGGUUGUAAAGUUCUUUCGGUGAUGAGGAAGGUUGGUGUGUUAAUAGCAUGCCAAAU